UACAGAGUGGGCGAGCGUUGUUCGGAAUUACUGGGCGUAAAGGGCGCGUAGGCGGCCUGCUAAGUCGAACGUGAAAUCCCUGGGCUCAACCCAGGAACUGCGUCCGAUACUGGUUGGCUUGAAUCCGGGAGAGGGAUGUGGAAUUCCAGGUGUAGCGGUGAAAUGCGUAGAUAUCUGGAGGAACACCGGUGGCGAAGGCGACAUCCUGGACCGGUAUUGACGCUGAGGCGCGAAAGCCAGGGGAGCAAACGGG
rnacentral:rRNA from 1 species